rnacentral:lncRNA from 1 species
GCUACCGUCGGCACUGGAGGGGUGAGAGCUGUAAAAGGGAGAAUUGGGAACGGCAUGGGGUUGGCCACUCCAGCACUUGAGCAGCUUUCUUCUGCGUUAGGAAGCCUGGGGAGAGGGGAACUGGCUAAAGGGCAAAAUGUCACUGAGGAACUUCGGAGAAGAUGGGGACAAGGCGUCGGGCGGGGGAGCCAGCGCUCAGGAGCCCAGGCACCAUACUGUCUUUUCGAGGUAUGGUGCUGGGUGCAGAUGCAGUGUGGCUCUGGAUAGCACCUUAUGGACAGUUGUGUCCCCAAGGAAGGAUGAGAAUAGCUACUGAAGUCCUAAAGAGCAAGCCUAACUCAAGCCAUUGGCACACAGGCAUUAGACAGAAAGCUGGAAGUUGAAAUGGUGGAGUCCAACUUGCCUGGACCAGCUUAAUGGUUCUGCUCCUGGUAACGUUUUUAUCCAUGGAUGACUUGCUUGGGUAUGGAGAGUCGGCUUGACUACACUGUGUGGAGCAAGUUUUAAAGAAGCAAAGGACUCAGAAUUCAUGAUUGAAGAAAUGCAGGCAGACCUGUUAUCCUAAACUAGGGUUUUUAAUGACCACAACAAGCAAGCAUGCAGCUUACUGCUUGAAAGGGUCUUGCCUCACCCAAGCUAGAGUGCAGUGGCCUUUGAAGCUUACUACAGCCUCAAACUUCUGGGCUCAAGUGAUCCUCAGCCUCCCAGUGGUCUUUGUAGACUGCCUGAUGGAGUCUCAUGGCACAAGAAGAUUAAAACAGUGUCUCCAAUUUUAAUAAAUUUUUGCAAUCCA